CAAAGAUUUGUGGCCAUCCUGUUAAAAUUGAGGCCAAAACGACAUCAGGUGCCAGUAUUGGUUCAACGGGAAUGUGAUUCGUGUAUCUAACGCGAUCAAAGGAUUUAUUUGUCAAAAUCGUGACCAGCCACAAAAUGGUCAUUGUGCAGAUUAUAAAGUUCGUUUCUUGUGCCCUCAUGAGUUUUGCAAACCAAAAGAAUGCUGGACUCCAUGGUUUGAUCGGGACAACCCCAGUGGCAAUGGAGACUAUGAAAUACUUCCUAGGCUGCGCAAAGAAAACCCAUCAGAGAUUUGUGACCAUCCUAUUAAAAUUGAGGCCAAAACAACAUCUGGUGCCAGUGUUGGUUCAACAGGGAAUGUGAUUCAUGUAUCUGACACGACCACAGGAUUUAUUUGUCAAAAUCGUGACCAGUCCCAAAAUGGUCGUUGUGCGGAUUAUAAAGUUCGUUUCUUCUGUCCCCUUGA